UGUAGUCAUAUGCUUGUCUCAAAGAUUAAGCCAUGCAUGUCUAAGUAUAAGCAAUCUAUACUGUGAAACUGCGAAUGGCUCAUUAAAUCAGUUAUCGUUUAUUUGAUAGUACCUUACUACUUGGAUAACCGUGGUAAUUCUAGAGCUAAUACAUGCUAAAAACCUCGACUUCGGAAGGGGUGUAUUUAUUGGAUAAAAAACCAAUGCCCUUCGGGGCUCUUUGGUGAUUCAUAAUAACUUAACGAAUCGCAUGGCCUUGUGCCGGCGAUGGUUCAUUCAAAUUUCUGCCCUAUCAACUUUCGAUGGUAGGAUAGUGGCCUACCAUGGUUUCAACGGGUAACGGGGAAUUAGGGUUCUAUUCCGGAGAGGGAGCCUGAGACACGGCUACCACAUCCAAGGAAGGCAGCAGGCGCGCAAAUUACCCAAUCCCGACACGGGGAGGUAGUGACAAUAAAUACUGAUACAGGACUCUUUUGGGUCUUGUAAUUGGAAUGAGUACAAUUUAAAUCCCUUAACGAGGAACAAUUGGAGGGCAAGUCUGGUAAUCG
rnacentral:rRNA from 1 species